AUUGAACGCUGGCGGCAGGCCUAACACAUGCAAGUCGAACGGUAGCACAGAGAGCUUGCUCUCGGGUGACGAGUGGCGGACGGGUGAGUAACGUCUGGGAAACUGCCCGAUGGAGGGGGAUAACUACUGGAAACGGUAGCUAAUACCGCAUAACGUCGCAAGACCAAAGUGGGGGACCUUCGGGCCUCACAUCAUCGGAUGUGCCCAGAUGGGAUUAGCUAGUAGGUGGGGUAAUGGCUCACCUAGGCGACGAUCCCUAGCUGGUCUGAGAGGAUGACCAGCCACACUGGAACUGAGUCACGGUCCAGACUCCUACGGGAGGCAGCAGUGGGGAAUAUUGCACAAUGGGCGCAAGCCUGAUGCAGCCAUGCCGCGUGUAUGAAGAAGGCCUUCGGGUUGUAAAGUACUUUCAGCGGGGAGGAAGGCGGUGAAGUUAAUAACUUCACCGAUUGACGUUACCCGCAGAAGAAGCACCGGCUAACUCCGUGCCAGCCGCCGCAGUAA
rnacentral:rRNA from 1 species